CAGUAGCCGCGGUAAUACGGAGGGUGCAAGCGUUAAUCGGAAUUACUGGGCGUAAAGCGCACGCAGGCGGUCUGACAAGUCAGAUGUGAAAUCCCCGGGCUCAACCUGGGAACUGCAUUUGAAACUGGCAAGCUAGAGUCUCGUAGAGGGGGGUAGAAUUCCAGGUGUAGCGGUGAAAUGCGUAGAGAUCUGGAGGAAUACCGGUGGCGAAGGCGGCCCCCUGGACAAAGACUGACGCUCAGGUGCGAAAGCGUGGGGAGCAAACAGGAUUAGAUACCCCUGUAGUCCCUGUCUCUUAUAC
rnacentral:rRNA from 1 species